UACGUAGGGGGCAAGCGUUGUCCGGAAUCAUUGGGCGUAAAGCGCGUGUAGGCGGUUCGGUAAGUCUGCUGUGAAAGUCCAGGGCUCAACCCUGGGAUGCCGGUGGAUACUGUCGGACUAGAGUACGGGAAGAGGCGAGUGGAAUUCCCGGUGUAGCGGUGAAAUGCGCAGAUAUCGGGAGGAACACCAAUGCGAAGGCAGCUCGGCUGGGACGUUACGUGACGCUGAGACGCGAAAGCGUGGGGAGCAACAGGG
rnacentral:rRNA from 1 species